rnacentral:lncRNA from 1 species
AAACAUUGCUUCAAUUUUGUUUCUUCAUCGGAUUCUGACUUUUGCUAAACUCUAUAAGUCCUUUAAUUAACCCUUUGUUCGCAUGCUAUCGUUGAAUUACCAUAUUCCUAUAGUCUACUACUUACUUAGUUUGCAAUUGCAUGACACUUUCACUUUGUCCUAAACUCAGCCUUGCAUGUCCGAUACUUAUGUACUCUUUAUAUGUGCUGAACUUCCCUUCUAAAUGGC